ACGGGAGGCAGCAGUGAGGAAUAUUGGUCAAUGGACGGAAGUCUGAACCAGCCAUGCCGCGUGAAGGAAUAAGGCCCUAUGGGUCGUAAACUUCUUUUGUGGUGGAGCAAUAAGGUGCACGUGUGCAUCGAUGAGAGUACAUCACGAAUAAGCAUCGGCUAACUCCGUGCCAGCAGCCGCGGUAAUACGGAGGAUGCGAGCGUUAUCCGGAUUUAUUGGGUUUAAAGGGUGCGCAGGCGGCACGUUAAGUCAGCGGUGAAAUGUCGGGGCUCAACCCGGGCACUGCCGUUGAAACUGGCGAGCUUGAGUACGGAUGAAGUCGGCGGAAUGUGAUGUGUAGCGGUGAAAUGCUUAGAUAUGUCACAGAACACCGAUUGCGAAGGCAGCUGACUAAUCCGCAACUGACGCUCAGGCACGAAAGCGUGGGGAUCGAACAGGAUUAGAUACCCUGGUA
rnacentral:rRNA from 1 species